AAUUUGAAUAUCCAAGUUUAAAACACUUUGCAUGCAGACAUCACAUUUAGCAAUCAGCCAUCAUUCCUCUUCCUUUCCUUUUUAGGAUACUGCAAUUUCAUUCUGUCAUCAUCUUAUUGGAUAAAUUCUUUUUUCUACACAAUCAAGAAAUCCUUUGUCAUUAUCUUUUUCCUUCGAUGACAGAUCCCGACAAAAUACAAGUCUUGAAUACUUCUCGAAAUAAAUGAUAACAAAUCACUAUGCACAUCAUUGUGUAACAUAACCAACCAAUCAACACUACACCAAUAAUACAAUCAACACUAGGAUUUUUUAAAUCACAUAUAUAACUUCAGAAUUUUCUAUAUCUAUGAUAUUCAUUUUAUAUAAAUUAUAGUAAUUAUAUUUAAUUCCACUUUGUAACUUCUACUUUCACAAACUUCUCGAAAUCCUUUAGAAGAGAAUAGUAAGCAAGAUGGCGAACGUUUAUCCAUGAAAAUCGUCACGUAUCGAUUGCGUAGUUCGAUUCGAUCUCAAUGAUGAAAUUUUCGCGCAUACCUUCGCACGGUAGAUAAUUAUUAUCGUAGCGGAUCAAGCACAGAGUAUCGAUCGGUAUUAAUUAACCGGCGCGCACUUUCACUCGGUGACCUUUAUAAUCGACCGAGCGCAAUAGACGACCGGCACAAUUUAUCAUUGUCGCCCGGAGAAAACUUAAUUGGCGCCGGUGCAACGUAUAUCCCUAAUUGAUUUCGAGCCAUCACGCUCCUCUAAGACCUCUAUAGUUGCGUAACCAGCUCAAUCGCGAUCCUUCGUGAUUUCCGCAGGUGUUGCGGUCAACGUCUGUUUCGCGGCAACGGAUAACGAGGAACGUACACGUCCAAAUAGAUACCGAUAGAAGGUAUCAGAAAGUAUUUGCAUCACUUUGCACUUCUCCUUUUGGCGCUCGUGUACCGAUUAGCUCGUGUAACGUUUAAAAGUACAUCCUGAUCUCGAUAUAAAAAGUUGAUUUCUUCGAUGUAAAAAGGAAAUGAUAUGCAUGAACUUAAGUGUGUGUUGUUCUUUCGUGUGAGGAGAUUAAAUGGUGAUAAGGAUGGCGCGAGCAGUCAAAGGUCUCUGCACGAUUUGCAUUGCCACGCAAUUGCGAGGGACUCCGCGUAUAUUUGCAAAUAUAAUUGCACCGGUUCGAUACGCGAGCUUUUUCACCCAUAUGCGACCUCGAUCGCAUACAGGAUUAUUACAGUGAUUCCUCGAUCGAGGUAAUUAAUUCCGUUCUGUUCUUCGACGAUAUCUUGUAAAACGGUUCUUGGUGGUCGAUACUUUCGUGAAGAGAAUAAUUCGAUUCCUCGAAGAUCGAUUUUGAAUUACAAUUAUGAGAAGAUUACUGAUGCCAAUUUCUGCAAACAACGCAAGUUCACGAAUCAAGAAACUCUUUAUCUUAUUCACAGUUGAAGAAUUAACCUUGAUCUAUUCUACAUAGAUACAUAUAGUAGGAUCGAAGUUGGAGAAAUUAGCAAGACUGUUUCUCAUCGAUCACGAUAUUCAAUUAUCUACACCAUGUACAUGUUUGCCAUUAUCUCGAACAUGGUUGAAACACGAGUUACACGUUGGUGUACAAAUUCGAAACGGCAGUCCGGCAUUGAGGUAGUCGGACCACCCUGUACAUAAAUAGAAGGAGGCACUACGACGUGCGCGUACGAGCGGUUCCGUCCGAGUUUCUACGUUCUCCAGAGCGGCGAAGGUCACAGUUAAUCGACCGCGAGAUACAUAGUCACUCUGGUUACAGCGAGAAAAGUAACGACUAGUAUAAUUGCGGCCCUUCGUUUCCGUUUCGCCAACGUACCGGCAACGCACAAUUUCCACCGGCCAAACGAUCGAGAACUAUCGUUUUCUGUCGAACGCAGAUGGAGAGGAAAAAGAAUAAAAGAAAAAGAGGGAUGGAAAAGAAGCCCUCUCUCCAGAGAGUUUUAUGUUCCAAAUACAGUACAGAUUUUUUAUUUUUGUGGAAAUUUGUGAAUUAGGAAAUUUUUGAAUGAAGAAAAAGAAAAAAGGAAAGAAGAAUAUCUUUCUUAAAAUUUCAAAAGAGAUUUCUUCGAUCUAAAAAAGGAAUCGAAAGUGGAAACUUGGGAAUUGAAAGGAUUUGGUUUCGAAGAUAGAGAGCAGAGGAAGUUGUUUAUUGAAGAGGCGAAUGAGGAGGAGGAGACGAGGGAAACGGCACCGUUAUCGAUACUCAUUUCUUCAUGGAAAAAUGUUCGUCCGUUUUAAUACUCAACCGAUAAACCCUACUUAGGGGAAAUUAGUUUUUAAUUCUUAAUACAAGGGACAUUUUUAAAUAAGGAAUCAAGUAGUUAUAUCCGAGAAGUUUCGAUUUUAAGUAUCUCGAGGUUAGAUGGGAUAAUGGAAGAUUUAAUCAUUUCAAUGUGAGAUCUGUAAUCACUCGUACGUGACUUUUGAUCUAAUUCUUGAAAAUGAUCCCUGGAAUUUUCAUUUUCUGUGUGGUGUAACAAAUUAAUUGGAAUCUUUUGAGAACAAGGUUAGAUGGGAUAAUGAAAGAUUUAAUCAUUCCAAUGUGAGAUCUGCGAUCACUCGUACGUGACUUUUGAUCUAAUUCUUGAAAAUGAUCCCUGGAAUUUUCAUUUUCUGUGUGGUGUAACAAAUUAAUUGGAAUCUUUUGAGAAGAAGGUUAGAUGGGAGAUUUUAUAGGUUAAUGGAAAAUUUAAUAAUUCCAAUGUGAGAUCUGCGAUCGUACGUGACUUUUGCUCUAAUUUUUGGAUUCUUGUAACAAAUUAAUUGGAAUCUUUUGAGAACAAGGAGAUAGAUCAAUUGGUCUAUUUAAUUGACAUCAGAUAUUCGUUACAAUUUUCGAAAUGAUUAUGAUCCUUUUUUUUUAUAAUACAAUAGAUUAACUGAAAUAUUGAUCUUUUAUAGGUUAGAUGGGAUAAUGAAAGAUUUAAUCAUUCCAAUGUGAGAUCUGUGAUCACUCGUACGUGACUUUUGCUCUAAUUUUUGGAUUCUUGUAACAAAUUAACUGGAAUCUUUUGAGAAGAAGGAAAUAGAUCAAUCGGUUUGUUUAAUUGACAUCAGAUAUUCGUCACAAAAGGUUUUCUCAGACGUUAUUUUGAACCUGAAAAGGAAAAGGAAUAGAAUUGAUGGAUUUUUAUGAUCACGCAAAUAGUUUACGAGGCUCUCGUGCCCCGGUAUCGAGGCACGUUCGAGCGAAUCGCGUUGCCGCAAUGCACCUAGCUCGGAUUCGCUCUCACGCGGCGCGCUUACUCGCCUGGAAAAUUAUCCAGUAACCCAGUGACACUGUGAGAAGUGGCGGAACCUUUCGUCAAUCGCUUCAUGUCGAUACGUGACGCCCCCGUUGCUUUCUCAAGUUUCUCGAGAUUAUAGAUUUCAGAGGUUCUUCUUUGUCGAAAAUCCAUUGCAACAAUGCAACUACAACUCUAUAGAACAGUCAACGAUGGAAAAGAAUAUCAAGAAAGAGAUUCUUUAUGGACAUAUGAUAAAGUUGAUAUUGAAAAAAAAUGAGACUUUUCUUUGAGGAAAGAAUUCUUUAUCGAAAAUCCAUUGCAAUGAUGCAACUACAAUUUUAUAGAACAGUCUCUAUAGAACAAUGGAAAAGAAAGAAAUUCUUUAUGGCCAUAUGAUAAAGUUGAAUGACAUUGAAAAAAAAUGAGAUUUUUCUUUGAGGAAAGAAUUCUUUAUUGAAAAUUCAUUGCAAUGAUGCAACUACAACUCUAUAGAAUAGUCUCUAUAGAACAAUGGAAAAGAAUGUCAAGAAAGAGAUUCUUUAUGGACAUAUGAUAAAGUUGAAAAAAAAUGAGACUUUUCUUUGAGGAAAGAAUUCUUUAUUGAAAAUUCAUUGCAACGAUGCAACUACAACUGUAUAGAACAGUCAACGAUGGAAAAGAAUGUCAAGAAAGAGAUUUUUUAUGGCCAUAUGAUAAAGUUGACAUUAAAAAAAAAUGAGACUUUUCUUUGAGGGAAAGAAUUUGCUCUCUUGCAGAUGGAAUGAUAGAAAGAGUUAGAGAAAAUGUAAAGGUGAGAAAUAUAGAUCUUUAUAAAUUUAAAUAUGAUGUUUCUAAACAGAUGAAGAGAAAAAUUCUUUGUUCAUGAUAAUUGUUGAUAUUCAAAAAAAAAAGUGAAUUUAUUUACUAAUCUCCAAGUAUAGAGAGGAGAACAAUAUUCAAAAAGACUUAGCAUAGAUAAUUAACAGGCAUUAAUAGGCAAUUGAAGCAAAAGGAUAGAAUAUACACCCUUUCCUGGAUAGAUUUGAAGAAAUUUGUGGAAAGGCGAGAAAGAAGGAAGAAGAUGGACAUUCUACGCGUGUCACGCCAGCAGAUUAAGUUAAUACCCUUGAGAUCGUAUCAUUGGCAAACGAGUGUUGAGCGCGGAUGGGAACAACCUGACGAAGGUCUCGCGGCACGGUGUCACUGGGUUACUGGAAAAUUUUGCAGACCGCGACACAGGCAGAGGCCGUGGCUGCCCGCCGACAUUCCAUUCACGAUCGAACCUUUAACCGCCGUUAAUUGAGUCGCAACCGUGUCGAACACGUGUUUCCCUUAUUUUAAAUUCAAUCACCUCGAUCAAGACUCGCGCGAUCUUUGCAUCCAAUCAUGUUGUCGAAGGAUAAAAAGAAAGAAGAGGGAAAUCUUGUAGGACGAGAGGUGAAAAAAGAAUGAAGAAACGAGUCGCGAAACACUUCCUGAAUUACUAAUUACAGCGACUCGUUUCCAUGACAUUUCCAUGAGAAUGAAAAGAUCGAUUCGGUUGCCUCGGCGAAAAGUGUUUUGACCGAGAAAAAGAAUGCAAAUGAAGCGACAUUAGUCAAGGGUAAGGCCGAACACUCUUUGUGGUGACGCGUAAAAAUUGCGAGCGAAGUGAUACGAGUCAAGGAUAAGGUCGACUUCUUUGUGGAAAUAUGUAAAAAUCGCAAAUAAAGUGAUGCGAGUAAAGGAUAAGGUUGACUUCUUUGAAAAGACAUAUGUCAAAAUUUCGAUCCAUCGACUGAAUAUAUUCCCAUUAUUCUACAUCUAUCGUUUUCACCGAAAACAAGAAAGAAACGGAGCGUGAAAUCAGAGCGUGAAAGACGAAAGCACGAGAGUUGCAUCGAGAGUUCUGUCUGGAGUCGCGUGUUCCCUGGGAUCACGUGAAUCGUGGUUCCAGAGGUGAAAGGGGACGAGGGGGAGAAGAAAGAAGAGAAAGGAGAGAGGAGGCACGUCGAUAUAUUAGUUAUGCCCGAGGCGAGGUGAGGCGAAGAAGCGGAGGCGAACUCUCCACUGCCAAGGCGGCGCAAGGCGUGGUCUGUCCUUUUACUUUGCCUUCGCCUUCUGCUUUCUUCUGCCGUGUUUCUCUGGCCGUGCUAAACAGGGUGUUUCACCAGAAAUUUCUAUUUUUUUUUUUUUUAAAUUUCCUCUUCAUUCGUAUUUAUAUAUUGAAUCGUCUGUAAAAAUUCGUAAUACUUCGUAAAUAUUUUAUGAACAUUUUUAAAAAUUGUAAAAUGAACAUGUGCAGAUAUUUCGAUUGUUCCCGAAAAAUUGAAAUCACGAUUCGAACGAUCGAAAUUUCUCGAUAAAGCAUCAUGGUGUAAGAAUCUUCGAACUUGUAAAUAUCAAGAAUAAGAUGUGAAGAAGAUAGGAAUAUUGGCAGUCUCACGAAAAAUCGAAAGUUUAGAAAAUCGGUUCGAAGCGAAACACCCAGUAUAGAAGUAGGUUCGACUGGUUCACCUCCGCGGCUGGCAACAACUAACGAGCAGCUGUCGGUAAGGAUCCCGGCGACAAUAACCCGUGCAUUUUAUAUGUUCCUCGAUCGUGGCUGCAUGCAUCGAUCUCGAGCGUGGUUUUCCUCGCAGAUAACCGGCCACUAACUGCUUGUCAUUAACGUUAUCGAUACUCGCCAUAACGCGUCUUCACUUUAUUCCGAAAUAGAAAUGGAAAGUUUAUCGCUAUAGAGGCUAUAGAUAUUCCUCGUCUCAAAAUUUUAAUCGUUAUAUCAUCUCUUUAUCCAAAUAAAUUUUUAUCCAUCUGUAAAUCCGCAAGAAUAGGACUUUUAAUAUAAAUUAUAAAAAAUAAGAAAAUUCUUGAAAUUACUGAAACUAUAUAAUAAAUUAUUCUAGGAAUUUUUUAUUGUGAGAUUUAAUAUUAAUUAGUCUGAUCCUAAUAAUACAAACUUUAUAAGUAUUCAUUGAACAAAGAUAUUUGAAUUUAUUACUA